UGCUUAACACAUGUAAGUCGAACGGUAACAGGAAGUACUUGUACUUUGCUGACGAGUGGCGCACGGGUGAGUAAUGUAUAGGUUACGUGCCUCUUAGACUGGGAUAGCCNCUGGAAACGGUGAUUAAUACUAGAUACUCCUACUUGUAGGGAAAGCUUUUGCGCUAAGAGAUCGGCCUAUACUGUAUCAGCUUGUUGGUGAGGUAAUGGCUCACCAAGGCGAUGACACAUAGCGGGUUUGAGAGGAUGAUCCGCCACACUGGUACUGAGACACGGACCAGACUCCUACGGGAGGCAGCAGUGAGGAAUAUUGCACAAUGGGGGGAACCCUGAUGCAGCAACGCCGCGUGGAGGAUGACGCAUUUCGGUGUGUAAACUCCUUUUAUAUGUGAAGAAAAUGACGGUAGCAUAUGAAUAAGC
rnacentral:rRNA from 1 species